ensembl:lncRNA
GACUGCACUGCCUGCUCACACACACACACACACACACACACACACACACACACACACACACACACACACACAUACACACACACACACACACACACUCACACAGAGGAGGUGCCCGGACUUAAGAGUUGCUCUGAGAAUCAGUCAGCCUUUGCCUGGAGAAGGGAGAGGAAGCAUCGUUCCUCGUUCAUUCACUCAGUGACACACACACACACACACACACACACACACACACACACACACACACACACACACACACACACACACUCAUUUCUAGUACUAAGCUCAACCUGGAAUGUGUGGCUAAGAAUGAUUUCAGUGGGAGAGAAGCUGACAGCAUAAGAUGUAGAUGCCGAUGGAUUUGGACUGGAUUUGCCAUUUGGAUUUGCAUGAUGGUUGCCAGGUCCACGUCACAAAUCCCCCCCUCUGUUUGACCACUGAAAGAUGUUCACUGACGUUUCAGAAAAGGGAGAAGCUCACUUUGCCCUCAAGGACCCUCAACACUGCAGGAUUACUACACACUUUAUGGCAAGCCCCAAAAGGUCUGUGCCCAGGUGAGUGUGCACCUGUCUCAACUGCCAUAUACUCCCAAACUCACACGCACACACACACACACACACACACGCGCACGCACACACACACACACACACACACUGGAGCAGAUCUUCCUAUGCUGCCAAUGGAUGUUACUGUAUCGUAUAUGAAUGAGUUUGCUGACACACCUCCUGCUAACAACAUAACCUGUUGGCACACUUCUUUUAUAUUAUCCAUAAUUCUAGCGUGUUAUAUGGCUGGAGAUUGUUUUUGUCUAACUGGCUAGUUCUCUUCUAUUGUGUUCUCUGUGUGUUUCUGUGUGUGGGCUGAUCUCUGUGUGCUUGUGUGAGUGCUCUGCUCAGACUGGCGCCUGCCCUGACAGAAGAGCUUCCAGCAGCGCUGAAGGUGUGCACUUGGCUCCUCCACUGUCACCUCCAUGCUGUGCCAUGGUAACGCCGAUGUUUGUUUGAGUUGAUAGAGUCACUUCCUCACCCAACCAGUCAUGCACAUGCUGAGCUCUUCCAGCUGUCCCUCUCUCUCUCUCUCUCUCUCUCUCUCUGUGUGUGUGUGUGUGUGUGUGUGUGUGUGUGUGUGUGUAUGUGUGUGUGUGCGCAAAUGCAUCCAUAGAGCUCAUGUUUGUAUGAGAAUAUAUAUCAGAAUAUAUUUUCGUGUGUGUACUUGUGUAAUGUGUGUGCGUUUGUAAGUUCAUGUUUGGAUGGAUGUGUGUGUUUUUUGUGAGUGAGUAUUUGUGUAUGUGAGUGUGUGUGUAUGUGUAUGUAUAUAUACACACAUAGUUUGUGUGUGUUUGGGAGGGGGGGGUAUUCUUGUCUUCACCUUACAUUGUGUGGUUGCAGCACUGCCUUGGUCCGUCCCCCAAAGUCUUCCCCGGGAAGCUGGUUUCAGAUGGUGGAUUAGAUGUACGCUUCUCUGGUCUAGCACCAUUUGAAAUCAGUGUUCCCGGGGGCAGAAGAGCAUCUGUGACACAGGGGUCACCAAGAGGUCAAGACAGGGUCAUUCACAGCCUACACGUGGAUCACACAAUCACAAGGACUGGAUAUACAGACAAAAUAAAAAAUACCACACCAUAAAAAUAUUACACCAAUUUCCACUCCACAGGAUUAGAAAUAUCUAUGGUUCCUACACAACUGAAGUGUAUCCGUAUGACAUUCAUUUGAUGUUAUUGGUUUCCUUGCCUGUAGGGAUUCUGUAUAACACAGGGCUGGAGUGGUGAUAUGUAAACUGGGUAGUCUUACUGAAGGUGGCAGUGAAAGAACAAAUUAGCCUAGCUUGCAAAUGAGUGCAUAAGUUACAGUGCUGUCAUUAAUUACUGUGCAUGACCUGCUAUGUAAGCAUGGUUGCUGUAUAGCCUUGCGGUGAGAGAGCCAACUACACGCACAAAUUGGACUAAAAAACAGACACAAAGGUCAUUAUCUUUUGAUGAAUGUGUGCUACCUCAAAUAUAUCCCCAUCCAGCAACGUACCACAGGCAAUAUUUUAGUGUGCAAGGCCAUGGGUAACAAGAGGCAACACACACACACACACACACACACAAACACAAGCUCUCUGCCUCCCUCUCCCACCCUGACAUUUCUCCCCCCACCUAAAGAUGACUGAUUUCCUCUGGUGUUUAGAGCCGCCUUGCCUUCUAGCACCAUUUGAAAUCGGUUAUGAUGACUGGGGAUCAAUGCUGCAGUGCAAACCUACCGGCACACGGGAGAGAGGGGCGAUCACAGGGACAGACUUCAGAGCUACAACAGCAGAGCUACAAUACAGACUUCAGAGCUACUUUGUGGGAAUAGCUGAAAUGUAUAGGAAUGAUUAUUUUUAAAGCAACUAUCAUCCUACCACAGAUAAUAAGGCUGUAUCUCUCUCUUUCUCUCUCUCUAUCUCUCUAUCUUUCAUCUAUCUAUCUAACUAAGUUUGGCUGGCUGUCUUUCUUUUGAUUUGUCUCUCCAUCUGUCUGUCUGUAUAACCAAAUAAAGUUUUUAAAGACCAUUUCCUUACUAUUUUCAUUCCCUUGUAGCCUCCUCAUUCAGACUGCCAGCUCUGCCACCUAGUGUCAUUUUUUUGCAAUUACAUCAAUUACACAUCAACGACACUCAAACGCACCGUAACCUGACCUACUUGAACUAACUAAGCUUUGCUGUUUAGUUUGUUAGAGGGCAGCCAUUUUUUCAGUUGAUGACUGUUACCUUCUGAUGCCAGCACAAUAAAUCAGUUACAGUUACAAUGACGUAAGUGAUGGCAGGUUGGUAGGAACAGACUGUGCAGAUGAAGUGUUUUGAACUCCGAGUGAACUCUGUUGUAGUGAAUAGAAGAGUGCCCCGUAAUGGCGGCACCACGGAGGCCUGGGCAGCAGAAACGGCAGAGCUCCUUCUCUCGUUUGUCUCCAGAGAAUAACACACUGCGGCCAUGCCUGGAGCCCGACCCUAUCUACUGCUCUAUAAAUAACCUGUGUGGGUGUGUUUGUUAUCUCGCUCACUAAAGAUGUGCCUUGAUGAGUUGCUGUGACAUUGUUGAGCUUGUGUUGCAUGUGCACACACACACACACACACACACACACACACACACACACACACACACACACACACACACACACACACACACACACACACACACACACACACACACACACACAGCGCAGUAUAUGAUGCUAUACUGUAUAUCUAUAUCUAUGUUGUGCCUUACCUAUCUCUUGCUUAUCUGUCGAACCAGGAACAGCUCAAUAGCAAGUGACGUCAUGAGAAGACGUGAAUAGACAACCCGCAAACUCUCAAAGCAGUUAUCAACUUCUUAUAUUCAAUCAGAAAUAAUUACUUAUUAUUUUUUAGAGUAGAAAUUUGAAACAAAGAAGAUAAAUAAAUGCUUUAAGGGCAACACAACGUCCCUUUUGUGACUUCGGCUUCCUCACAGGUAGAUUACACAGUGUGUCAGUGUGUGUUUGGUGAUCACACAUUGUGUCAUUUCUUAAGAUGACUUCAGAGAGGCCACAUAGGGCUCUGUGCUGCAGAGCCAGACAGGGAGAAGGCAGUACAGAACAGGAUGCCAGAUGCCAUGCAUUUGAAUGUUGUCACACCAUGGCAACUAAACUAACACUUGUCUUUCAACAAUACAACUGUACACUCAAUCAAGGUCAUUUCAGGAAGUAGCCUCUCUAUCUAAUCUCCUCAGAAUUACAGUUGUCUGUCAUGUAACUGUCAGUGGCGGUAUUCAGUGUUCUUCAACAUUGGUCUCAAAGACUCUUAUAUACCUAGAGGCUGACCUACUUAUUCAGGGGUGGGCGUUUGUUACAGCUUAGUAAAACGGGUCAAGAUUCUUCCAGAAGUAGGAUACUUCUCUUAAUGGGCAAACAGAGGCAGAGGAGUGCGGUGGGAAAAGGAUUAUGAAGUCCAGCCAAUCCAUCAAAUGUGAAAGGCCACAAUGAAAUAGCCCACAAUGCAUUUUGUGCCAAUUUGAAGAAUGUUUUUACAAUUUGCCUUGUCAUCAUUGUGAAUAAUCAGCCCAACUAGCACAGAAUCAAAUGGAUUCCCUUGUUCCCCUGUGAGACAGCAGUACCCAUUGUGUGAACAGGUUUUGGAGCUAUGUGGGGCAAGUGUGGGCUGUGUGGGCCAGGGUCAAGUGCUGCCUCAGGGAUGUACUCAGACUAUGAUGUCACAAUAGUUGAACAGUGACUGUCACGUUCCAAAUAUGGCGAAUUCUGACUCCAGGUCUGCCAGUCAGCAUUCCUCAUCUGGUGAAGAACAAUAGAAAACAAUAUGGCAAAAAAGUAAGAGUCUGUCCUAAAUGUGAUGUCAUGACCUGUUAUAACAGUAAUAAUAACCUCUUAAACUGUAACCUGUAGUAGGUGCUGAUGCAGUGGUAGAAAAAUAGUUCUACUAUUACGGUAGUCAAUACACAGUUGAUGGCAAUGCUCUACAAUAACAGAUAGAUAGUUUUUCAACCUUUACAGUUUAUAGUAUAAAUGAUAAAAAUGAAAAAAAAAAAACUGCUAAUGUCUGUUGGACUAAUCGUAUUUGUGGGUUUCCUGAGGAUAAUUUGACAAAUAACAAAUGACUUGUCUUGCCUUCUAUGCUGAGGUUGUAUGAGAAACUUUGUGUAACUACAAGUUCUGUUGUAGCAAUGCUGCGGAGAGCAAGUUCUUCAAGGCUUUCUGUCAGCCUAUCAGCAAUGAUGAGGUCAUUAGUCCUCUUGUCCAAGAGAUCUGCCAGAGGGCCAAAGGUAGGACAUCAGACUGUAACCAUGGCUACAGACGAGCUUUUCUUCUCUGCCUAUUGUGCCUUUCCUGACCUGUUAAGAAAAGUGAUGUAAAGAGAAAAAGUCGUGAUUGCGGCCCCCUUUGAGAAUUACAAAAGGCAAAUGGGCUUUUCUGAAAGGACCUCUGCAGGGUAGCCAACUGAAAAGGCCUUCUUGAUGUGAGAUUGAGCCCCCUUUCUGAAGUUGUAGCAUCAGAUGCACCGGUGCACAUAGAACAAGUUGCAGAAGUGCGGCAAAACAUGGACUGAAAUUGUCAGACAAAUUGUCAUUAUAAAUUGGCAAAAGUGAUUAUGCCAAUUUCUAUGAUCCAAGAACAAAGUUUGAGCUCUGGUUGAGUGUUGAAUGAAUGUUCAUAUUAAUGUUUUUUUUGUUUUUUUUAAAUGCUUGUUUAUACCAGUUUUAGAUUCUCAGGAGAUUUGGAACAUUUUGAGGGCAGAGACCAAAUCAAAGCUUGCUCAGCCGACAGUCUCCCAAAAAGUGCUUGCAGCUAUGAAGGUUCUGCUCUCACAAACCACAUCAGAUGACAAAUACCACUAAACAAAAACAAGAAAAGAAAAUUCUUUGAAUCUGCCCUCUCUCAGUUGCCUUGAUCAUUUCAUUCUAUUCCCACUUUCCAUAUCUCUAUCUUUACCUUCUUUCGCUCUUCAUUUUACAUUUCUCUCUCACACUCUUCUGACUCGUCCUAUACUUCCUUUUUUAUGCAUACACUUUCUCUCUAUUUUACUCACUUCUGCCCUCUCUCUUUCUCCACCAUUAUUUCUCUCUUUUUUCUUCCAUUCCAAUCUCUUCCACUCUCCCCUCUCACUCUCCUCUCUCUCCUUUCCAGUUGUUGGACGAGCAUCUGGAGUGUAAACGUGUGACAGAGGAAAAAAAACGCACCAUGUUGCAGAGGUGUCGAGUCAUUCUCAUGUUCAAAGCAUCUGAAUUUAACCUGGACCGCACGACCUUGCUGAUCGCCAACAACCCACUGCAGACUGCCGAUGACCCUGCGGGCACCGACAGCCCUACUAAAUACCUGCAUACCUAUACCCACCCCCCAAUACAGGUGACGGUCUACCUUCCCGCAACAUCCCAACAUGACACACCGUCAGGUGAAAGUCGUGUAGCCUAGAUCAGAUAGAAUGCUAACAGUAAUUAGUUAGCUUGUAAGCCUGUUGCUGGCUUGACAAUAUUGCAUCUGGCUACUAAGCCUUAUGACAUUCUUGGCGGUUGACAUCAGAGGUCUGUGCAAUUACGGUUCAAGUCCAAACUGGGCAGCAAAAUUGCUUGUAUAAGAAUCAUAUUAGGCCUCUAUUAGACCCACACCUAAAUAAAUACAAUGCUGAGCCUACGAAAGAAAGAAGGGAUGGGUGCAAAAAAAAACUAGCUACCCGCUACCAACACCUGAAACAGAGAGGGGUGAAGUGAGAUGGGUAUUCAGAGAGAUGUCAAUCAGUCUACAACUACUUCCUGUGUCAUUCCCAGUGUCAUUACUGUACUCCCUCCCAGUGUCAUUACUGUUGUAAAUCUGUACCAGACCACAAUUACUGAUAUCCUGAUGGCUUGCCAAGGGCUAUGUGGAAAGACAGUGAUGAAUACACUUCAGGAUGUAAAUUACUUUCUUCACACAACGUAGAGUUCAAUCCAAAGCUUUUUGGACUGUGACGUGUUUGUUGAGGUAUUAAUGUAAAAACAGCUGUCCCUUAACUGUUUACCCAGUAUUUAUACGUGUAAACACCCUCUUAUAAAAUCUGAGGGCAAGCACGUUAACUUUGAUGUCAUAGUUUUAUUUUCAUUUCAAAUCUGAUCUGUUGUCUUGGAGCACUGAGCAAAACAUAAGUGAAAAUGAUGUCAAGCUCCAAUACCUUUAGACUGCACUGCACUGUAUAUGACACAUCUCCAUCCUCUCCAGAAGGGGGCACCAGACUUGACCAGCUCUUGCAAACUGCCUCCUCUGAAACGACCUAUAACAUCUAAUUCACCAAGACAGGAAAGAGCGGGCAGGUAUAUCCCAACUAUUCAGUGCAUUCUGUUUUUUCCACAGCCACUAAAGUAACUGUUUCAACAAAAGAAAGUGCUAAAAAUGCUUAAAAAAAAACAACAACAUGCAUAUCGUUAGAGUGCGCAUGAUUAGGGAAAGUUGGUUUGGGGCAAGGACAACGCUAAAAGAGCUAAUGAUUUUUCUGCAGUGUUGUUGUCAAGAGGUAUUGUCAGUGCCUUUCUACGCAAACUGAAGCCAGGAAAAAUAGAUGUGAAAUCACUUGGGGCAUCUAGGUUAGGUAUACGUGGCACAUCUUUAUUUUUUUUUUUUUUUUUUAAAUCUGCCCAGAUAGUUAGGCUACUUCUUUGAGAUGACCAGGAGAGGUCUGUGUUCUAUCUGUCAUGGAAAUGGACUUGAUCAUGUCAUAAUAAACAACUUAGCGCAACUGUUUCAAUACAAGAAAAUCAAUACAUUGGAAAAAGCAUAAACCUUGUUUUAGGAUAGAACAGAUUAUAGGAUUAUUGAUACUUCAGGUAUUUGGCCUUCACUCCAGACACGUUAGAAGAGCCUCAGGUCCAAGCCUAAGUUUAUUGCUGCCUGAAUUCAAUAUCUUACUUUUAACCCACCACUGAUUUUGUUUCACAGACCGUAGUGGGGCCAAAAGUGGAGCUGUCUCUCGAGGAACCAUUGACUAUUUCAGCUCUGAUGAAAAACUCAACCGCAGUGACAGUGCCAGGUCAGGGAAGCUUUCAGGCAUGGCCAGGGCCACAUUCUGAACAUAGACAGCA